GAAACUUCAAACUCCAGUUUGUGAACAAAGUCCUGUCUAUCUUCUGAAUAGGAAUCUCCGACCACUGACCAAACUCCAUUUGUAACUACUGCCUAUUUGUACCUUCUCCUCAAUGACUACAUUUCAUUUGCCUAACUCUGAUCUCAAAGGCAGGCGAGCGGCCGGGAAGCAAGACAAGUAAACGUUAGAAAUCCAAGAGCCAGCAGCUUGAAGGAAAAGGCAAUCAUGGUGGAACUGGAACUGAUGGCCCUAGAUGUGGAAUAUAAACUGUCUCCGGGGACUUAUUUGAUUCUUUCUGAGGGAACGACAGCAUGAUGGAACUGUGAGUGUUUGUGAGGCCCGUCCAGGAGCGCGUUGACGUUGAUAAGAGUAAAGUAGAAGGAACAAUGUGCUGCCUGCAGCAGAAACGGCUGCUGCUGCAGGAGAUGCUGCAGAUAGGGGCACACGGCACCAGGACACCCUGGGGUGCAAUCUUUUCAGUCUAUAAUUCUUUCAUUGGAUUUGCACCUACAUGUUGUGGCCGCCUUUGUGAAGGGAGGAACUGAUCUGUCAACUGUUCACCACCUGGUGCAUCCUCUGCCGGUGGUGAAGAGCAUCUCUGAAUGCACAACACCGGAACCUGCAGUGUGGGAG